rnacentral:lncRNA from 1 species
CUGAGACUUAAAAACUGCAGGAGAAAGUUACUUUAAUUUAUCCUGCAUUUGCAGCGGUAAGUAACUAGAUCUGAAUUCCAAGGAGCUGAACUCUUUUGUAAUAACCACAGCUGCAGUGUGAAGCAGCCUGCACUGUGGUCAAGCUGGUGGUGUUAAGGACAAGAGCAGACACGCAGUGUGUCUAACACUUUCAGUCUGAGCAGCUGCUCUGGCGGUGCUUCCGGACAGACAAUCCCCUCCCCUCCUUUUUCCAAUAUGUUCCUGGAAGCAACCGAUCACCUCCGAAGGAAUUUUUUGCCACGGUGCCUCCUAAUGCGUCCAGGCUGUAUCUGGAAUUCAUUUCUUUCCCAAUCGCGCUCAAAAGAAAAUAUCACCAGUUCCCAGGUCUUAAUGAAACCAUUCCUUUUCGAAGUCCAGACCAUAAAGGGCACUAUUUACUUUUUUUUCUCGAUUUUUUUUUCUUUAUACUUUCUGCCAACAUGGAUGAAUUUGCCAAGUCAGGGAGGUGCACUGACGCAGCUUCUGCAUUUUAAAUGUGCACCCGACUGGGAGAGAGUGAGUCACGCAGACAUGCUCCUCUGGUGUGCCUGCUUGCAGAGCCAUUUGACAUUUGACAUGCUGCUAACUCCCUCCACUAUGCCCUUCCAGAGAAGCAAUGCCUUGAGGAGAGGCACACGUCUCGCUGAAGUCGCCCACUAGACAAGGGAGUCUCUGAUUGCUGGAAAAUUAAGAAAGCCCUGGUGGACUGGUGCUGUGGUGUUGCCCAGACAGCUGUAUACCAUCACGUCGAGAAUCAGUUACCCAAUGUCCUGGCUGAGAGUGGAACCUCAUGACUGACAUCUGGCAUGUAGGCUUUUACUUAGUGAGUUACCUAGGAAUCCCCUGACAUAUCUUCCUCUCGAUUCUACUUAGAACUAGAAUUAUGACUGUUCAUUUAGUCUGCACUUACCUGGGUCUAUUUUGCAGUAGUCUGAAUAUACAAACUUUGACACUCCCACAGGUCACACAUUUACAACACAGCACAAUAGGCUUCCGUUAGCAGUAGUAACCUGGUGCUGGAGAGGAUAUAUUUCUGGGUACUGUGGAGGCUUUUUAAAGUAAAACUUUGUUUUUGUUGUUCCGGUCACUUUUCUUUGUAAAUGCCUUCCUUUCAAAUAGUGAGAUAUUUUAUAACAAUGGAUGCUUUUAAAGUGUAACAUAAAAAACGGGUCUACCAUUAGCAUUUUGUAUUGUAGUUUGCAGGUUCUUAACAUGUUGCGAUAUUUGGCAGAAUUAAAUCUCUAUUCUUCUAUCAUUCUCCGGCUAGUGUUGAGAUGCUGGCUUGAUAUGAAUAAUAUGGCACUGAAGUAUUGGCACUGAGUAUUCACUGGUCACUGGUGCGACCUCCAUCACCUUGACAUCAAAGCCUCUGCACUUCACACACUGGACAGCUCUCUCACGUCUCACGUCUGGGCAAUGUCACCAAACGGGGCCCUGCAAAAACACGGCCACAGGCGUCACAUGUUCACAGUUUGCCCCUGUUGAUGGCUUAAUGAUGUGUGUUUGUCUUCUCACUCUUCAGCCAGCUCAAAGCAGAGCACGUCCAACUGCCCGUCAAUCACAAGCCAUUUGAAUGUUUCAUGGGUUCUGUCAGCACCUCUGCUCUCCAUCAAAGGCCUCGUACCCAGGAAAUCCUGGCUGUUUGCGGCUCUCGGUGCUGAUCACACAUGUGGCCCACAGCAGAGCGUCUGACACCGUGGCUCUCCUGCUGUACCUGUGAGUUGUCAGACACAUCUGCUCUGCUGUACUCGGGUGUCAGCACCACUGUGAUAAGAGGAAAGGCUCUUCUUGCUGUUUUCUGUCCAGUGUUAUGAAGGGACACAAAACCCCAUCUCUGUGCCUGUGAACAAGUUUCAAACACUGUUGUCUGAUGCAGCCAGAGCAUUUGUGUAUCAUGCAUCAAAACAUCCAUGCAUGAGGACGAUAUGUCUGUAGCCGUCAUAAGAUAUUGUGAGACCGGACAGUUUCACUCAUGCUGUUUUUGAAGUGGAAUGUCUCUCUCCAUAGUACAGUGUUUGAAUGUCAUGAUGCCUAUGCAGAGGCUGCUGUUAGGAGGCAAACCUGAUAUUACAUUCAUAUGGUUUUGGGGGGGGAGGGGUUGCUUACUCACAGUCUGUUCCUGCUGAAUUGCGCACAGUCCUGUACCCCAAGAUCACAGUGUCAUUCCAGGGGCCUUCAGAAAGAUCGUGGAGGGCUGGCAACACGAAGAUAAAUACACAAAAUUUAUUGUUUCAGGUGGGCAGGAUGUGAGUGUGGCCCUAACAAAAAUGCUAGGUGAGACUUAAUAGAG